rnacentral:sRNA from 1 species
GUUUCAAUUCCUCAUAGGCAGGCUAUCGGCGCGAUGCUCUCGACGAUUGCCCCGAAUGCGACGGUAG